GGAACAAUACUCAAGAGGCUGAAGAGGCUCGACUCGAAAUCGAGUAGGCCUGUAAAAGGGCGCGAGGGUUCAAAUCCCUCUUGUUCCGCCA
rnacentral:tRNA from 1 species